AUAUGACUUCCCUUAUCUCCACAAAAAUGCCUGCAGGUAUCAGUGGGACUCAGCUUCAUGUGACAUUGCUUGACCGGUGUGUGGUGUACCACCCAAAGAGCGAUUUAUAGCAUUGUUCCUGAAGCAUGACGCACAUGGAUACCUUGGUGCACGCCUCCCAUCUCUCCUUCCAAUCAGUUCCAUCAAGAGCCAGGUCGGCCUCCCAUUGGUCAGUGUAUCUGAGAGUCCCCCAUUCCCCUAAUUCUGAGCUAAUGUGUUGGUAAAGUAGAGUAAUGAGUUUGGUCUGGGUUGUUUCCUCAUAACACAUUUUCUCAAAGAACGUUAACUUGCAUUCUGCUGCUGUUUGGAUUUCUUUGGUGCGUGCGAAGUCCCUAAUCUGCAGAUAGCAGAAAUAGUCUCUCAUCUGGAUUGGGGACUAGGUUUGUAGGUGGUCAUAGGUUACUAUGUCGCCAUUGAUGUACAGGUGUAUGUACCUUUAUAGCCCUGUGGGCUCUAUGCCCUUGAAGUCUCUAGCCCUCAUUCCCGGGAGAAACGCUUUAUUUCUGAGGACUGUAGUCAAUGGUGACGGAUGGCUCCCUAGUGCAUAGUUUUGCUUUACUUGGUCCCAUAUUUGGAUGGAGUUUAGAACAGCUGGGCAUGUCAUUCUUAGUAUAGUCCUCUGUGUUUUAGGGACCCAUAGGUAGAAUUGGGGUAGAUCUGCCCCUGUUAGUAAGGAUUCAAUUA